GAUGAACGCUAGCGGCAGGCCUAAUACAUGCAAGUCGAACGGUGUCUUCGGACAUAGUGGCGCACGGGUGCGUAACACGUAUGCAACCUACCUUACAUUGGGGGAUAGCCUUUCGAAAGGGAGAUUAAUACCGCAUAAGACAGUAGCUGGGCAUCCAGCAGCUGUUAAAGAUUUAUCGAUGUAAGCUGGGCAUGAGUCCAAUUAGCUAGUUGGUGCGGUAACGGCUCACCAAGGCAAUGAUUGGUAGGGGAACUGAGAGGUCAAUCCCCCACACUGGCACUGAGAUACGGGCCAGACUCCUACGGGAGGCAGCAGUAGGGAAUAUUGGGCAAUGGACGCAAGUCUGACCCAGCCAUGCCGCGUGCAGGAUGAAGGCGUUAUGCGUUGUAAACUGCUUUUAUACAGGAAGAAACGACUCUUGCGAGAGGCAUUGACGGUACUGUAUGAAUAAGCACCGGCUAACUCCGUGCCAGCAGCCGCCGUAAGAC
rnacentral:rRNA from 1 species